rnacentral:lncRNA from 1 species
GCCUGAGGAACAGAUGGAGCGAUCAUCCUCUUCAUUCCGCCAGAAGGGCCCCGCUGCUCUGGAAUGAGUUAUGCGCCACGGAUGACAUGCAUGUUGACUGCUCACUUAUCAAGUCCCCAGGCUUCGCGUGGCAGCGGGUCGUCCGGCAGUUUGCGCGGUAGACAGUGACGAUCUCCACCAAAAGCCCAUGUCCCCCAGGUGUGAAGAAGUCAAGAAAAACCUACUGGAGUGGACACACACUGGGAUUCACCCUCUUCUCCCACGAGGAGCCAGGUGAACUUGAGGGACUCAGGCCACCUCACCGGGCUCCACGGGGACUGUACCUAAGGCUGCAAAGAACCCAAGCUGCAGAGAGAAGAUACGGUUUGGAAUCCAAGUCUGCCCCUUGCUGCCUGGGUGACAUAAGGCAAUUUACUUAUCCCGGAACACUGGUCUCUUCUGUAUAAGUAAUGGGGAUAGUUUGUGCCCCUCUGGGGCCAAAGUAUGUUUGAGCUGAGCACCUUUGUGAAAUCAGAGGUACAGGUGGAUAACCAAAGUAUGUCAGGUGGGUCCUGUAGGAAGCAGAAGCCAAGAGAGAAUGACAAAUGGAUCCUGUGUGAAGGGUAAAGAGGAGAGGAAACAGGAGUAGUAAGAGGGCCUCUAGCGGAAAACACACGGGCACACAUGAUGGAAUGGGGAGAAGGAAGACGUGGUGGAAAAACCCACAGGGUCAGUAGCCUGAGAAAAUUUCAGAGCUGCAAAGGGGAGUCCAGAACAAAAACUGCCUGUGAGCAGAGUCCCACGCUGGGCAGCAAUGGCCCAGCGCUAGCCCCUGGAAGCAGCCUGAGAAAAGUGUGGCUCCAGAACAAACACUGAGGUCAACUGGAAAGUGUGGCAGCCUGAAGCAAUCAGCUCACCACCCUCCCCUGCAGGUUGUCCCUGGAGGGAGAAUUGAAUUGACUUUCCCCUGGCUACCCCACUCCAGGGAUGGCCACUUGACUGAGACAAAGCCCCCCAGCACAUUUCAGUGAAUGAUUCAGUUUCCCUAAGCUGAUUCAAUCAGAGUGAAUCUUAAGACAUUUACCAGGGGUGCCAGAACACAAUACUCUCUUUUCAGGGGGAUAUUAACAAAAAAGUAGGUAGCUGCAGGGGUAGCCACCUUUGGACAGCAAAUUGGGAUGAAGUCAACAUUGAGAGUGGCAGAGCAGACAAAACCCAAGAAACAGGACCUUGGUCACAAGAUGAGCAGCUGGGUUAAGCCUCUCCUGAAAUCUAUUCUAGCCACUGGACUUCUACCAUGAAUAAACCCUCUUUACAGUUUGAAGCAGUUGUGUCAGGCUUCCUGUUACUUGAAGAAAGACCUCUGAUUUGAUGAUCAAUAAGGAAAAUGGAUGCCUUCUGAUGUCCAAAAGUAAACAUAGGCAUAGGGUCAAGCCUAAUAGAACUGGAACUGGUGAAAGUGGUGUAGGAAUCCAAGGCUGCUCUUGUGUCUUAACACCUCCACGUGUCUGCAUCCUUAUCCGGGCCAGCCACUCUCUUUUCCAUGACCAGCUGCCGUCUUCACCCUCUCCUCUGUAUUUUUUCUCCACUGUGUGCAUUUCCCAGUGCUGCUUCUGAGAGCAUGCAUCUCAUUAUCUCACUUCUUGCCUGUUUAGACACCCCCAGUGAGUGUGAUUCCAUUGUCUGCAGAGAAGGCUGGAUAGCAGUAUUUCUCUAAAGUUUCUCAGAUGGUCCAAGUGUGUUGACAAAAUACAGAAUCUCUGCUUUGGUAAAGCAUUCUGGACCAGCAGAUCCCACAGCCUGUCCCUGGGUCAAGUUCAACCCCAAUCCAGUCACCUAAGAACAGAGCCACAGGGAUCAACAUAUCCAGAACGCCCUUCAUUGGCUAAUUUGUGCCUACAGAAGGACUGAAGGGGUGACAGGCCCUGUUUGACAAGCUUAGGACAAGACAAGCCUAGCACAGAGCUUGGCACCAUGUAGUGGCUCCACAGUGACAGCUGCUAUGAAAAUCCCAUCUCUUUUCUAAUACAAGGGUAUUCUUUCUAUAAAACACACUAGGCUACAGUUGUACAACUGAGGGUAGCUGCCAAGGAAGCACCUAGAGAAUCUAGGCCCCUAUGCUUGGCAAAUAGACUAUACAGUAGAAAAAAAUUCCAAUUAAUCCAAUUUAUAUUUGAGAGCAAUCUCUUCUACUGCAAUAAGACCACAUCAGUGCAGCUGUGAAAAAGCCUUAUCUUUGGAGAUUCUUCAGUGAAUUAUAAAAAUAUUGCUGACCUCAUGUUAAGAGAGAAAAAAUGGAUAUGUAACUUACAUAGUGCAUGAUUCUAAUUUUGGUGGGGUUUUUUGAUUUUUGUUUUGGCCACAGCAUGCAGCAGCUUGAUGUGGGAUCUCGGUUCCCAGAUCAGGGACUGAACCUGGACUGUAGCAGUCAAAGUGUGGAGUCCUGACCGCUAGACCACCAGAGAACUCCCAGUUUUAUGUAUGUAUGUGUGUAUUUUGCUUUUUAGGGCCGUACCUGUGGCAUAUGGAAGGCCCCAGGCCAGGAGUCAAAUCAGAGCCACAGCUACUAGCCUACACCACAGCCACAACAACUCGGGAUCUGAGCUACAUCUGUGACCUACACCACAGCUCACGGCAAUAUCGGAUCCCUAACCCACUGAGUGAGGGCAGGGACUUAAUCUGUCCUCAUGGAUACUAGCUGAUACUGAGCCACAAGGGGAACUCCCUGAAUAUGGAAUUCUGGAACCCACUGCGCCAGGGGAUACCAUGGUCGGAAUCUCUCUUCUCCACUCCAAUCUUUUUGGCUUUCCUUGGACUAUUCUAGGCUCUUUCUGCAGGACCUGGCCCUGAUUCAGCAGGAGUUCAGAGGAGGGAAAUUAUUUCCAGUAGGAAGAAUAAAGGGUGACCUCCUGGAGGAGGUGGCAUUUGCAUGGG